UGUUGCAGUUAAAAAGCUCGUAGUUGGAUCUAGGGACGCGCAUUUCAAGCGCCCGUGUCGUCGGGUCAAACCGGCGACUGCGUUGGCGUUGCGGGCUCGGUCCGUCGGUGGACCCUCGUGGUCUUAAUCGGCGUGUCAACCGGCCCGCCCGUCCCCUCCUUCUGGAUUCCCGUUCCUGCUAUUGAGUUAGUGGGGACGUCACAGGGGGCUCAUCGUCGUCAUGCAAAUGGCGGCGGUGGGUCCCUGGGGCCCAGAUCGUUUACCGUGAAAAAAUUAGAGUGUUCAAAGCAGGCAGAUCCAAUUUUCUGCCACCGAAUACAUUAGCAUGGGAUAAUGGAAUAGGACCCUGUCCUCCUAUUUUCAGUUGGUUUUGGCAGCGCGAGGACUAGGGUAAUGAUUAAUAGGGAUAGUUGGGGGCAUUAAUAUUUAAUUGUCAGAGGUGAAAUUCUUGGAUUUAUGAAAGAUUAACUUCUGCGAAAGCAUCUGCCAAGGAUGUUUUCAUUAAUCAAGAACGAAAGUUAGGGGAUCGAAGACGAUCAGAUACCGUCGUAGUCUUAACCAUAAACGAUGCCGACCAGCGAUUAGGAGACGUUGAAUACAAAACACCACCAUCGGCGCGGUCGUCCUUGGCGUCUCUGUCCCUUUCAACGGGGGCAGGCGCGAGGGCGGUUUAGCCCGGUGGCACCGGUGAAUGACUCCCCUAGCAGCUUGUGAGAAAUCAUAAGUCUUUGGGUUCCGGGGGGAGUAUGGUCGCAAGGCUGAAACUUAAAGGAAUUGACGGAAGGG
rnacentral:rRNA from 1 species